GUUGCGAGCCAUGUAACCGUGAUUACGCUGGCUGCGUUGAAAACUUCGUAAGACAUGGAAUAUAAAGCGAGUUAGGGAACUUCCAAGGGUUCGUGUGGUAGGGCCAGGCAGAUGGGGUCCUGUAGCCGGUGUGAAGUCAGGAUGUCGCCUGAGUGGUGGCAGCUAGGUCGUAAUAAACUCCGUUGGUCCUUCGUCACGGCUACUCGUCACAUACACUUCUCAGACAACUCGGACGCUUCAUUGAGACGUCAUAGAGUCGCGUCACGACAGGGAACUGGAGAGUUUGAUGAGGGUGCUGACUACUAAGGGACAGAACCCAUAAGCAUCUACUGUGGAACAUGUGCACAGAUAUAGUACUGUUGGUCA